UACAGAGGUCCCAAGCGUUGUUCGGAUUCAUUGGGCGUAAAGGGUGCGUAGGUGGCGCCGUAAGUCGGGUGUGAAAUUUCGGAGCUUAACUCCGAAACUGCAUUCGAUACUGUGGUGCUCGAGGACUGGAGAGGAGACUGGAAUUUACGGUGUAGCGGUGAAAUGCGUAGAUAUCGUAAGGAAGACCAGUGGCGAAGGCGGGUCUCUGGACAGUUCCUGACGCUGAGGCACGAAGGUCAGGGGAGCAAACGGG
rnacentral:rRNA from 1 species